rnacentral:rRNA from 1 species
GAAAAGGCUUAAAUAAUUUGAAGGGACGAUAAGACCCUAUAAAACUUUAUAUUUAUAAAUGGUAGACAAUUUUGUUUUGUGGUAUUAUUUUAAAAUAUUUGGUUGGGGUGACAAGGAUAAAAUAAAAAAUAACUGUCUUUUUUUUUUACAGUGAUAUCUGGUUUAAUGAUCCUAGAAGUGGAUUAUAAGAUUAAGUUACUUUAGGGAUAACAGCGUAAUUUUCUUUAAGAGUUCUUAUCGACAGGAAAGUUUGCGACCUCGAUGUUGAAUUAAAAGUUC